rfam:Oryza sativa (indica cultivar-group) chromosome 4, whole genome shotgun sequence.
UUUAAAUGUAUUUGUGAUUUUUUACGUCCAACGUUUAACUAUUCGUUUUAUUUAAAAUUUUAUCAUGAAUAUUAUUUUUGUUGUUAUUACAAGAUAAAGCAUGAAUAAUACUUUAUACCUAACUUAUUUUUUAAAUUUUUUUUAAUAAAACGAACAGUCAUACAUUGGACACGGUGUCAGGGUUACGGAUAAG